rnacentral:lncRNA from 1 species
AGCGAAAGCAAGGGUUUCACCGUUCGAGCAGUCGAUUUCACCAAGUUGGACGCCAUUUUGCGAGAACCGUGGCCCCUUUGCGUUCAUACCACUG